rnacentral:lncRNA from 1 species
UUUCUUGGCGCAUAGGCCAUCUUGGGCUGUCCACCCAGCCCACUAAGGGCUAGUGCCUACACCUAGGGCCUUUGGGCUUCUACCGGGAGGGUUGCCCCCCUCCCGGUGAACUUCCGGAACCCAUUCGUCACUCCCGGUACAUUCCCGGUAAUGCCCGAAAACUUUUCGGUAACCAAAUGAAGUCAUCCUGUAUAUCAAUCUUCAUCUCCGGACCAUUCCGGAAACCCCCCGUGACGUCCAUGAUCUCAUCCGGGACUCCGAACAACAUUCGGUAGCCACACAUAUAACUCAACUAUACUAAAACAUCGGCGAGCCUUCAGUGUGCGGACCCUGCGGGUUCGAGAAC